CCCCCCUGUUCCUCUACUGCCAUUGGAGACAGGAUGCUUUGUAAAAGAAGCAGUCAGACUGAUAAAAGGCCUGAGUGGUGCAACGCUUGAAGAAAUUGAAGCAGGAGCCAAGGGUUGGCUGAAGAACUGCCGAGCAUGCGUAAAUAGCGCCACAAAAAGGAAGCUUCCACGAGUCUGAGAGUUAAGAAACUUCCAUGAGUCAGCCGGAAACUUCCUCAAGUCAUCUGGAUUGCAAGCCAUUAUU